rnacentral:lncRNA from 1 species
UUUUCCGGAAAUUGCGAGUUCUUUUUCCCUCCAUUUUAACAUUUUUCGUACAAAUUUUAAUAAUGAAAACUCGCGUAACAUUUAACUGAUUGUGAGCACUUAAAGCCAGGAGUUGUGUGACAUCAUUUAGGCUUCUGACAUACCAAUAGAGCAGCUAUGUGACAUGUAUGUAUGAAAAUUACUUUGUGGAUAAUCAACUCAAUGGUUAUCUGCUCCACACACCUUCCUUUAGAAAAUGUUGAUAUUGAACUUUGUCACUGCAAUCUUUUAACAAACAUUUCCAUUAUGACAAAGAGCAUGCAACAUUUUCUUCUAUAAAUGGUCAGUGAACUACUUUACUUUACUUUUAUAUUCCCGGGACCAUUUUAAUUUUAAAUUUUGUAAAAAUUGGCAUUCAGAGUUUGAUUUGUCUUGAUGUUCAUUUUGGAUUAAUUAGCCCUAUGUUAAUUAAGCACAAUAAAAUUAGGUUCAAAUUUUCUUUAUCAUAUAUAAUGUAAUAGAGAUAGCUGUAAAAGCAGAUUAUAAAUUAUGAAUUAUU